rnacentral:lncRNA from 1 species
CAAACGUGUCCUGGCCGUGUCCCCAGCGUGUCCUGCCUCGUCCCCACUCUGUCCCCAACCCCGCUCCCUGUGUCACCUCACCAUGUCCCCACGUGCUCACGGUGAUGUCCCCAUGUUCUCCUGGCCGUGUCCCUGUCUCCUGUGUCCCCAGUGUCCCUUGUGUCCCCAGGCCAUGCCAUCGCUCCCCAUGUCCCACUGUCCCCAUGUCCCCAAUGUCCCUUGUGUCCCCCUGGCCAUGCCAUCGCUCCCCCAUGUCACCUCAUGUCACCAUGUCCCCAUCAGCCCCCAUGUCCCACUGUCCCCAUGUCCCCAAUAUCCCUUGUGGCCCUCAGGCCACGCCAUAGCUCCCCAUGUCCCACUGUCCCCAUGUCACCAUGUCCCCAAUGUCCCUUGUGUCCCCCAAGUCCUCCCAUGUCCCCCGGCCAUGCCAUCGCUCCCCCAUGUCCCCAUGUCACCCCAUGUCCCCAUGUCCCCAUGUCCCCAAUGUCCCUUGUCAAUCCAUGUCCCCAUGUCCCUAAUGUCCCUUGUCACCCCAUGUCACCCCCAUGUUCCCAUGUCCCCAAUGUCCCUUGUCACCCCAUGUCACCCCAUGUCCCCAAUGUCCCUUGUCACCCCAUGUCCCCAAUGUCCCUUGUCACCCCAUGUCACCCCAUGUCACCCCAUGUCCCCAAUGUCCCCAAUGUCCCUUGUCGUCCCUUGUCACCCCAUGUCCCCAUGUCCCCAAUGUCCCUUGUCACCCCAUGUCACCCCCAUGUCCCCAUGUCCCCAAUGUCCUAUGUCACCCCCAUGUCCCCAUGUCCCCAAUGUCCCUUGUCAAUCCAUGUCCCCAUGUCCCCAAUGUCCCUUGUCACCCCCAUGUCCCCAUGUCACCCCAUGUCCCCAUGUCCCCAAUGUCCCUUGUCACCCCAUGUCCCCGUGUCCCCAUGUCCCUAAUGUCCCUUGUCACCUCAUAUCACCCCCAUGUCCCCAAUGUCCCUUGUCACCCCGUGUCACCCCAUGUCCCCAAUGUCCCUUGUCACCCCAUGUCACCCCCAUGUCCCCAUGUCCCCAAUGUCCCUUGUCACCCCAUGUCCCCAUGUCCCCAAUGUCCCUUGUCACCCCAUGUCACCCCCAUGUCCCCAUGUCCCCAAUGUCCCUUGUCACCCCAUGUCCCCAUGUCACCCCAUGUCCCCAUGUCCCCAA